UAUUACACCUACGUACCAAUAUAAAAAUGAGGGAUCAAAACCUCAUAGUUCGUGAUAUAAAUUUCAAAAUGGAUGCAUUGAUUUUUAACAAACUUUAAGUUUGAUAUAAGAAAAUAAGUUUGAAAAUGCAAUGGCAUAAGGCCAAAGUUUCUAUCUUUUGCAAAAGUGGACAAAGUUUAGAACAAUAAUAGUUCACACAAAGAAGAUUUUUCGAAAAUGGAGGGAGAGAUUUUGAAAUUAAAGAAAUGGGGAGAAGAUGAAGAGACUACCAUAUGCACA
rnacentral:lncRNA from 1 species